GACGAACGCUGGCGGCGUGCUUAACACAUGCAAGUCGAACGGAAAGGCCCUGCUUUUGUGGGGUGCUCGAGUGGCGAACGGGUGAGUAACACGUGAGUAACCUGCCCUUGACUUUGGGAUAACUUCAGGAAACUGGGGCUAAUACCGGAUAGGAGCUCCUGCUGCAUGGUGGGGGUUGGAAAGUUUCGGCGGUUGGGGAUGGACUCGCGGCUUAUCAGCUUGUUGGUGGGGUAGUGGCUUACCAAGGCUUUGACGGGUAGCCGGCCUGAGAGGGUGACCGGCCAAAUUGGGAGAGGGAGACGCCCAAGACUCACACGGGGGGGGGAGGGGGGGAAAAUUGAACAAGGGGGGGAAGCGUAAGGCGGCAACGCGCCGGGGGGAGGGAGGGCUUUCGGGUGUAAAACACUUUUUCCCGUGGAGAAGGGGGAAGGAAGGGUAAUGGGAAAAAAACCCCCGCCAACUUAGGG
rnacentral:rRNA from 1 species